ensembl:lncRNA
CGACUGAAAAGGUGUCUUUGGAUUUUCCCACCUCUUGACCUGUGAGGAGGAGGAUGCAGCUCCGGUCCCUGUGUCUGACGCCACCAGAGAACCACCAGAGACCAGGAUGUCAAAGAAGAAGAAGACUUCCCGAGACCACCUGCCACACAGGAUGCAGAGAAGUUUCAUGAUGGCCCAACUAACACCAGUAGCCCCAAUACCAUCCCAAAGAGAAUGUGCCUUUUCCCAACCCUCAGAGACCAGCAAGCCCCAGCAGAAGGCAGGAAUCUUCAACCCACCUGCCACAAAGUGACUGAAGAGGACCAGAAAGUUGGAGCCAGCCUCAGGCCUUCUCUCUGAGUCACCAGAAAGCAUGAAGUCAAAGGAAAUGGAGAUCCCAGGUCCACCUGCCCAAAGAGACUUAAGAGGACCAGGUCACUCUCCAGUUCUCAUAUUAUAGUCACACUAUUAUGUAGUGUUAUUAUAUUAUUAUGUAGUUGGAGCCAGCCCCUCUCUCUGAACUUCCAGACACCAGGAAGUCAAAGAAGAAGAAAAUAAUCCUUGGCCCACCUGCCAGUCAGCAAGUGAAGAGAUCCAGAUUUCCUCCCAGCCCCUGGACCACUAACCCAGUGAAGACUAGACGUAGGCCACCUUCAGCCACACCCCCUACCUGUGAGAUAGGUGUAACUACAUUUACCUUGAGAUCGAAGGUAGCGACAAGCCCUACCUUGAAGUCAGGUGUAGUCACAUCCCCAUCUAGCGGUGAAGCCUUUUCCACAUCCCCUGAGAGGAAGAACAGGAAGAGGGCUAGGUGCUGUCAUGACAUUGGCCUCUUUGGGUAUAGCAAGCCCAUCC